UAGAGGGCUGACAAGAUGACUCAGCAGGUAAAGAAAGACACAUGCUGCCAGACCUGACAACCUAAGUUUAAUUCCUGAAACUCACAUGGUGGAAAGAGAGUACAGCUUCUAUACGUUCUUCACAUGUGCCAGGACUCGUGCCCCUUACAUUGCAAACUAAAUAAAUACAUGUAGUUUUAAAAAGGUCUCCGACUUAUCUUUUCAGAAUGAUAGUGUUUGUCAAGCUUGUCAGUGCUCUGAGUACUUGCCAUGUGUUCUUUUGUUUCUCAGAGCCUCUAUGUGGUGUAGGCCCUGCCUCUUCUUACUUUGUAUGUGAGAAACUGAUGCCUGAUUUCAGAAUGAUUCUGAAUUCAGAGCCUUGAUUCUGUUACCAUGUUUGUAAUUAGUACUGACACUUAAGUCCUUUUUAUAUGUUUACGUGUUUUCUCUUUUGAGACAGAGUCUUACUGUGUAGCCCUAGCUGCCCUGGAACUUGCCAUGUAGAUUGGGCUGGCUUCUAAUUCAGAGAUUUGCCAGGCUCUGCCUCUUGAGUGCUGGGAUUAAGAGCAUGUACCAUCAUGCCUGGUUUCUUCUUCUUCUUCUUCUUUUUUUUUUUUAAAUGUGUCUUCAUAUUUUUCACUAGUAGUAAUAGCAUUGGGUAUAGGAAUUUCACCUCAUCAUUUUUUUUUGUUGUUUUUGACUUCAAACAACCAAGGCUUGCCUCAAAUUUACUCUGUACUCAGACUGGUCAUCCUGCCUCAGCUUCCCAAAUUAUGGGAUGAUAGGUGAGUGCUAUAGUGUCUGGCUUCUUAAAAAUUUUUAUGUAAUAUUGGAUUUUUCUAAAAUCUAUUUUAUUUUUUGGAGACAAGAUCUAAACGUAGCUUUGGCUGGCCUGGAACUUGUUAUGUAAACUAAACAGGCCUCAAAUUCAUAGGAAUCUACCUGCUAAUAAAAGUAAUGAUAGACCAUCAUACCUGGCUCAACAGCUGCUGAGUAGUCUUUACAUUACCUUUGUCUUAGUUAGGGUUCACUGUUGUGAACAGACAUCAUGACCACAGCAACUCUUAGAAAAUAGUUCAUUGGUGCUGGCUUACAGUUUCAGAGGUUAAAUCCACUAUCAUGAUGGGAAGCAUGGCAGCAUAAAGGCAGGCAUGGUGGAGGAGCUGAGAAUUCUACAUCUUGCUCCUAAGGCAGCCGGAAGGAUACUUUAUCCACACUGGUCAGAGCUUAAGCCUAGGACCUCAAGUCUACCCCCACAGUGACAAACUUCUCCAACAAGGCCACACCUACUCCAAUAAGGCCACACCUCCUAAUAGUGCCAUUUCCCAUGAGCCAAGUAUUUUCAAACCACCACACCUGGACCUUACCUUUUUUUUUAAAGG
rnacentral:lncRNA from 1 species